AUAAACUGUUUCCUUUUUGUCUUUGUAUCACCAGCAGCUAACAUAGUGCUUGGCACUAGAUACUUAGUAAACGCUUUUGGAUCGAUAGAACAGGCCACUGAUAGAUGGCCUUUAACACAAAUACACACAUAUCCCUGGUGUCCUUUCAACCAGGAACAUCUCUCCUGUGGGCAUGUCCCACAUGUAGUUCAUGAAGGAACCCAUGUAUGUAAUACAUGCCUGUCACAAAGCCUCUGCCACAUAACAGGGCUGUUUGUUAAAGCCCUGUGCCUACUCAGUCUCAGAGAAGAAAGCCAGCAAGACCCCAGAGAACAGGAGGGAUGCUGAAACCUACAGACCGAGCCAGAGAGACAGAUGGUGCCCUGAGUGCUGAGAGAAUAAUUUGGAGCCUUGGAGAAGAAGAGGAAAGAUGAGACACAUAAUAAGAGACUGGGAUUAACCACCUCUCUCCUACACAAUACUUGUGGUCUGCCCCAAAGAACAUAAACUCCUAGAGGGAAAAGACUGUCUUUCUUUUGUAUCAGUAUUUCUCAAAUUUCAGGAACUCAGCCAAUGCCUAAAGGUACUACAUAAAAUGCUAUGACAUCAAGUUUGCUAUAUCUGGCAUUGGGGUAGGGUAUUGAUGAAAGUGGAUAGAAGGAAUCUGCAAACUAUGUGAGAAGGGAGUUGUCAUUUUGCAAUGGGUCUGCAGAAGCAAUGAGAAAGUUCCUGGGGAACACCUAGA